AUUGAACGCUGGCGGCAGGCCUAACACAUGCAAGUCGAACGAGUGGCGGACGGGUGAGCAAUGUCUGGGAAACUGCCUGAUGGAGGGGUAAAACUACUGGAAACGGUAGCUAAUACCGCAUACCACACGAUGUGCCCAGAUGGGAUUAGCGUGUUGGUGGGGUAACGGCUCACCAAGGCGACGAUCCCUAGCUGGUCUGAGAGGAUGACCAGCCACACUGGAACUGAGACACGGUCCAGACUCCUACGGGAGGCAGCAGUAGGGAAUAUUGGACAAUGGGCGAAAGCCUGAUGCAGCAACGCCGCGUGUGUGAAGAAGGUUUUCGGGUCGUAAAGCUCUUUUGUCAGGGAGGCGGUACCCAACGAGAAAGCCCCGGCUAACUACGUGCCAGCAGCCGCGGUAAUAC
rnacentral:rRNA from 1 species